UACGUAGGGGGCGAGCGUUGUCCGGAUUUAUUGGGCGUAAAGAGCUCGUAGGCGGUUUGGUAAGUUGGAUGUGAAAUCUCCAGGCUCAACUUGGAGGGGUCAUUCGAUACUGCCAUGACUAGAGUUCGGUAGGGGCAGAGGGAAUUUCCGGUGGAGCGGUGAAAUGCGUAGAGAUCGGAAAGAACACCAACGGCGAAAGCACUCUGCUGGGCCGACACUGACACUGAGAGACGAAAGCUAGGGGAGCGAAUGGG
rnacentral:rRNA from 1 species